CCUACGGGUGGCUGCAGUGGGGAAUAUUGGACAAUGGGCGAAAGCCUGAUCCAGCCAUGCCGCGUGUGUGAAGAAGGCCUUCGGGUUGUAAAGCACUUUCAGUGGGGAAGAAAGCCUUGGGGCUAAUACCCUCGAGGAAGGACAUCACCCACAGAAGAAGCACCGGCUAACUCCGUGCCAGCAGCCGCGGUAAUACGGAGGGUGCGAGCGUUAAUCGGAAUUACUGGGCGUAAAGCGCGCGUAGGCGGUCUGAUAAGCCGGUUGUGAAAGCCCCGGGCUCAACCUGGGAACGGCAUCCGGAGCUGUCAGGCUAGAGUGCAGGAGAGGAAGGUAGAAUUCCCGGUGUAGCGGUGAAAUGCGUAGAGAUCGGGAGGAAUACCAGUGGCGAAGGCGGCCUUCUGGACUGACACUGACGCUGAGGUGCGAAAGCGUGGGUAGCAAACAGGAUUAGAUACCCGAGUAGUC
rnacentral:rRNA from 1 species